rnacentral:rRNA from 1 species
GACGUAGGGGGCCAGCGUUGUUCGGAAUUACUGGGUGUAAAGGGUUCGUAGGCGGUGUGGCAAGUCGGGAGUGAAAUCUCUGGGCUCAACCCAGAGUCUGCUUCCGAAACUGCUGUGCUUGAGUGUGGGAGAGGCGCGUGGAAAUUGCAGGUGUAGCGGUGAAAAUGCGUAGAUAUCUGCAGGAACACCCGUGGCGAAAGCGGCGCGCUGGACCACUACUGACGCUGAGGAACGAAAAGCUAGGGGGAGCAAAACAGG